UACGUAGGGGGCAAGCGUUGUCCGGAUUUAUUGGGCGUAAAGAGCGUGUAGGCGGCCAAACAGGUCCACUGUGAAAACUCGAGGCUCAACCUCGAGAGGUCGGUGGAAACCGUCUGGCUAGAGUCCGGAAGAGGAGAAUGGAAUUCCCGGUGUAGCGGUGAAAUGCGCAGAUAUCGGGAAGAACACCCGUGGCGAAGGCGGUUCUCUGGGCCGAUACUGACGCUGAGGAGGCGAAAGCGUGGGGAGCGAACAGG
rnacentral:rRNA from 1 species